rnacentral:ncRNA from 2 species
GUGAGGACUCGGGAGGUGGAGGGU